rnacentral:ncRNA from 2 species
GAAUAUCGUGUAAAAGUUGGUGCCAAGCUGAGGCUUGGCUUAAAAGGGAAGAUCGGUGAAAAUCCGACGCUGUCCCGCAACUGUAAAUCGGAGCGAUUUGCCUAUACCACUGUGAAAACGGGAAGGUGCAAAUCAGCAUUGAUGAUGAGCCAGGAGACCUGCCAAUUUUAGUACACACCA